UAUAUAUAUAUACAGGGAUGUGGUAUGGUGUAUAAAUAAUAGUGAGUAGAUUUCUACAGAGCUCUGGAAUAUGAAAACACGUUCCUUUUUUGUGUGUUUUUAUGUUUUAAAAGAAUAAGCUACAAAAUUU